rnacentral:rRNA from 1 species
UAGAAGAAAUAAUGCUAGAAUAAGUAAUAAGAGAGCACACGACUCUCUCCCAGCACAUGUGUAGGUCAGAUCGGACACACCACUGACAAGUAACGGACCCAAAAACAGAGGGCACUAACCCUAAUUAUAAAUAACCAAGAAAACCCACAAUUAAACCACAACCGUUAACCCAACACAGGAGUGCCCAAAGGAAAGACUAAAAGGAGAAGAAGGAACUCGGCAAACACAAACCCCGCCUGUUUAACAAAAACAUCGCCUCUAGCCAACAAAGGAUGUAUUAGAGGUCCCGCCUGCCCAGUGACCACGUCGUUCAACGGCCGCGGUAUUUUAACUGCGCUAAGGUAGCGUAAUCAUUUGUCUCUUAAAUGGAGACCUGUAUGAAUGGCAACACGAGGGUUUGACUGUCUCCUUCCCCCGGUCAAUGAAAUUGAUCUAUCCGUGCAGAAGCGGAUAUGCAAACAUAAGACGAGAAGACCCUAUGGAGCUUUAGGUAAAGAAUCAACCAUGUUAAGAAUACUAUUUACCCCUCAGGAAACCAAAGAUUUUUCAAACCUAAUGUGAAAAUGAUUUAUACCUUCGGUUGGGGCGACCACGGGGGACAACAAAGCCCCCACAUGGAACAGGAGACACCUCCCAAACCAAGAGCCACAGCUCUAAGCAACAGAAUAUCUGACCACAAACGAUCCGGGAACAAACUUUUUACCUACACCCGAUCAAUGGACCAAGUUACCCUAGGGAUAACAGCGCAAUCCUUUCCCAGAGCCCAUAUCGACGAAAGGGUUUACGACCUCGAUGUUGGAUCAGGACAUCCUAAUGGUGAAGCCGCUAUUAAGGGUUCGUUUGUUCAACGAUUAACAGUCCUACGUGAUCUGAGUUCAGACCGGAGUAAUCCAGGUCGGUUUCUAUCUAUGAAUCUGCUUCUUACCAGUACGAAAGGACCGUAAGAAGAGGGCCUAUACCAAAAGCAAGCCCCAUCCCCACCCAUUGAAAACAAAUAAAAAGG